rnacentral:rRNA from 1 species
CCUACGGGUGGCAGCAGUGAGGGAUAUUGGUCAAUGGGGGAAACCCUGACCCAGCAACGCCGCGUGAGUGAAGACGCUUUUCGGAUUGUAAACCUCUGUCCUCUGUGAAGAUAAUGACGGUAGCAGAGGAGGAAGCUCCGGCUAACUACGUGCCAGCAGCCGCGGUAAUACGUAGGGAGCAAGCGUUGUCCGGAUUUACUGGGUGUAAAGGGUGCGUAGGCGGCCCUGCAAGUCAGAAGUGAAAUCCAUGGGCUUAACCCGUGAACUGCUUUUGAAACUGUCGGGCUUGAGUGUAGUAGAGGCAGGCGGAAUUCCUGGUGUAGCGGUGAAAUGCGUAGAGAUCGGGAGGAACACCAGUGGCGAAGGCGGUCUGCUGGGCUUUAACUGACGCUGAGGCACGAAAGCGUGGGGAGCAAACAGGAUUAGAUACCCUUGUAGUC